UACGAAGGGUGCUAGCGUUGUUCGGAAUUACUGGGCGUAAAGCGCGCGCAGGCGGCUAGCCAAGUCAGUGGUGAAAGCCCGGAGCUCAACUCCGGAACUGCCAUUGAAACUGUUUAGCUGGAGUAUGAGAGAGGUGAGUGGAAUUCCCAGUGUAGAGGUGAAAUUCGUAGAUAUUGGGAAGAACACCGGUGGCGAAGGCGGCUCACUGGCUCAUUACUGACGCUCAUGCGCGAAAGCGUGGGGAUCAAACAGG
rnacentral:rRNA from 1 species